UAUGCUGGUUGGACUAUCGCAGUACGCUGAGGAAAGUCCGGACUUCAUAGGGUAGGAUGCUGGCUAACGGCCAGGCGGGGAAACCCGACGGCAAGUGCAACAGAAAGUAAACCGCCUCUCUCGGGAGGUAAGGCUGAAACGGUGAGGUAAGAGCUCACCAGCAGUUCUGGUAACAGACUGGCUAGGUAAACCCCAUCCGAAGCAAGGCCAAGCAAAGGGUGCAACCUUAGAGUUGCAGUGUUGACCCGACAUGCCCUUGGGUAGGUCGCAAGGAGGCAGUUGGCAACAGCUGUCCAAGAUUAAUGAUAGUCUCGGCGAGUUUCGGCUCGCUACGACAGAAUCCGGCUCAUAGACCGGCUAAAGGC
rnacentral:RNase_P_RNA from 1 species